rnacentral:rRNA from 1 species
GACGAACGCUGGCGGCGUGCCUAAUACACGCAAGUAGGACGCAGUUGCGAACGGGUGAGUAACGCGUCGGUAACUGCCUAUUAGAGGGGGCUAACUAUUGGCAACGAUAGCUAAUCCCGCAUACUAGUAGAUGGACCUGCGUUGUAUUAGCUAGUAGGUAGGGUAAUGGCCUACCUAGGCAACGAUACAUAGCCGGCCUUAGAGGGUGAUCGACGACACUGGAACUGGGAAACGGCCCAAACUCCUACGGGAGGCAGCAGUGAGGAAUCUUCGGAAAUGGGGGGAACGCUGACCGAGCAACGCCGCGUGAGUGAAGAAGGUUUUCGGGUCGUAAAGCUCUGUUGUUAAGGAAGCGGUACUUAACCAGAAAGGGACGGCUAACUACGUGCCAGCAGCCGCGGUAAUAC